rnacentral:rRNA from 1 species
AUUGAACGCUGGCGGCAUGCUUUACACAUGCAAGUCGAACGGUAACAGCACUUCGGUGGCUGACGAGUGGCGAACGGGUGAGUAAUACAUCGGAACGUGCCUAGUAGUGGGGGAUAACUACUCGAAAGAGUAGCUAAUACCGCAUGAGAUCUAAGGAUGAAAGCAGGGGACCUUCGGGCCUUGCGCUACUAGAGCGGCUGGUGGCAGAUUAGGUAGUUGGUGGGAUAAAAGCUUACCAAGCCGACGAUCUGUAGCUGGUGUGAGAGGACGACCAGCCACAAUGGGACUGAGACACGGCCCAGAAUCCUCCGGGAGGCAGCAGUGGGGAAUUUUGGACAAUGGGCGCAAGCAUGAUCCAGCAAUGCCGCGUGCAGGAUGAAGGCCUUCGGGUUGUAAACUGCUUUUGUACGGAACGAAAAGCCCUCUUCUAAUACAGGAGGGUCAUGACGGUACCGUAAGAAUAAGCACCGGCUAACUACGUG